rnacentral:lncRNA from 1 species
CGCUUAUUUUAUAAAACUUGAGUGAAAUCAAGACAAAAAUUAUUACCACAACAACGCUCUAAGAACCUCAACAUGUUAGAUCAGGAUAAGUACUUAUUAUACCAACCCCUUGAACUUUUAGUUUUAUAGUAACCCCGAGUAGUUUAUACGAGAAGUCAGCACCAUCUUAAUAGCAAACUACAUGGAGAGCCGAUGAAUAUA